rnacentral:snRNA from 1 species
GUGCUGGGAUUAAAGGCGUGCGCCACCACGCUUCGGCAGCACAUAUACUAAAACUGGAACUGUACAGAGAUUAGCAUGGCCCCUGCGCAAACACACCUCUUAACACACAACACACAGGCUUAGAUUUC